UACGGGAGGCAGCAGUGGGGAAUAUUGCACAAUGGGCGAAAGCCUGAUGCAGCUAUGCCGCGUGUAUGAAGAAGGCCUUAGGGUUGUAAAGUACUUUCAUCGGGGAGGAAAAAACAAAACUAAUAAUUUUAUUUCUUGACGUUACCCGAAAAAGAAGCACCGGCUAACUCCGUGCCAGCAGCCGCGGUAAUACGGAGGGUGCUAGCGUUAAUCAGAAUUACUGGGCGUAAAGAGCACGUAGGUGGUUUUUUUAAGUCAGAUGUGAAAUCCCUGGGCUUAACCUAGGAACUGCAUUUUGAAACUGAAAUACUAGAGUAUCGUAGAGGGAGGUAGAAUUCUAGGUGUAGCGGUGAAAUGCGUAGAUAUCUGGAGGAAUACCUGUGGCGAAAGCGGCCUCCUAAACGAAUACUGACACUGAGGGUGCGAAAGCGUGGGGAGCAAACAGGGAUUAGGAUACC
rnacentral:rRNA from 1 species